CACGAACCGGGCAAACGUUAUUCGGAAUCACUGGGCUUAAAGGGUGCGUAGGCGGCGCUGUAAGUCGGGUGUGAAAUCCCACGGCUCAACCGUGGAAUUGCGCCCGAUACUGCGGUGCUUGAGGGAGAUAGAGGUGAGCGGAACGAAUGGUGGAGCGGUGAAAUGCGUUGAUAUCAUUCGGAACACCCGUGGCGAAAGCGGCUCACUGGGUCUCUUCUGACGCUGAGGCACGAAAGCUAGGGGAGCGAACGGG
rnacentral:misc_RNA from 1 species